rnacentral:rRNA from 1 species
AGCAGCCGCGGUAAUUCCAGCUCCAAUAGCGUAUAUUAAAGUUGUUGCAGUUAAAAGCUCGUAGUUGAAUUUCGGGAUCAAAGGAUCGGUCAUGCCUUGGUAUGUACUGGUUUUAUUGGUUCUCACCUUCUAAAGAACCAUAAUGUCAUUCAUUUGAUGUUAUGGGGAAUUAGGACUGUUACCUUGAAAAAUUAGAGUGUUUAAAGCAGGCUUACGCUUGAAUACAUUAGCAUGGAAUAAUGAAAUAGGACAUCAGAUUCUAUUUUGUUGGUUUCUAGGAUCGAUGUAAUGAUUAAUAGGGAUAGUUGGGGGCAUUAGUAUUCAAUUGUCAGAGGUGAAAUUCUUGGAUUUAUUGAAGACUAACUACUGCGAAAGCAUUUGCCAAGGAUGUUUUCAUUAAUCAAGAACGAAAGUUAGGGGAUCGAAGACGAUCAGAUACCGUCGUAGUCUUAACCAUAAACUAUGCCGACUAGGGAUCGGAUGAUGUUAAUUUUUAAUGA